rnacentral:rRNA from 1 species
UACGGAGGGUGCGAGCGUUGUCCGGAAUCAUUGGGCGUAAAGGGCGCGUAGGUGGCCUGCUAAGCGUGCGGUGAAAGUCGGGGGCCCAACCCCCGAUCGGCCGUGCGAACUGGGAGGCUUGAGCACUGUAGAGGCAGGCGGAAUUCCGGGUGUAGCGGUGGAAUGCGUAGAGAUCCGGAAGAACACCGGUGGCGAAGGCGGGUCUCUGGGCAGUAACUGACGCUGAGGAGCGAAAGCGUGGGGAGCGAACAGG